AUGGCUCAGAUUGAACGCUGGCGGCGUGCUUAACACAUGCAAGUCGCGCGUGAAAGGACUUCGGUCCGAGUAAAGCGGCGCACGGGUGAGUAACGCGUGGAUGAUCUACCCAUGAGUUAGGAAUAACGGCUGGAAACGGUCGCUAAUACCAAAUACGCUCCGAUUUCGAACUUCGGGGGAAAGGUGGCCUCUGCUUGCAAGCUACUGCUCAUGGAUGAGUCCGCGUCCCAUUAGCUAGUUGGUGGGUAACGGCCCACCAAGGCGACGAUGGGUAGCCGGUCUGAGAGGAUGACCGGCCACACUGGGACUGGAACACGGCCCAGACUCCUACGGGAGGCAGCAGUGGGGAAUAUUGCGCAAUGGGCGAAAGCCUGACGCAGCGACGCCGCGUGAGGGAUGAAAGGUCCUCGGAUCGUAAACCUCUGUCAGGAGGGAAGAACCGCCACGGUGCUAAUCAGCCGUGGUCUGACGGUACCUCCAAAGGAAGCACCGGCUAACUCCGUGCCAGCAGCAGC
rnacentral:rRNA from 1 species